GUAACUUUUCAUGCAUGCCAACGUAACUUUCGACAAAAAACACUCUGGCAGCACUGGUUUCAAAUGACAUUUAACAAGAUUACUGAGAUUCUGAGAUUGACAUCGUAAAUAUUUUUUAAAUACUUGAAAGUAUUCUCUGCUAUCGUUGUUCUGUGGCUAUCGUACGCAAGUAUGGCGGCGCCUAAAUACAGGUGUUGUGUGCUAUACUACUAUACUGUGAUGCAACAAGCUCCAAUUAUAGACUAUUUUGCAUGCCCUCAAAUGUUCAUUUAAGGAAUCUAUGGCUGUCGCUAUUGGUUCCGACCAGCCCUAAUUUACUAGGACUAACCGAGAACCAAUUGUUUUAAAAAAAUGUGUCUGUGAAAGACAUUUUGACGAGACUCAAUUCGAUAAAGCUGGUGUUAAAAUACGCUAUUCAUAUCCAUGUCUAUUCACGGAAAUGGAAAUUGCUCUAGGCAUACCUCUUGCUAGGGGUGGAUGACCAUAGUUACUGUCAGGGCUAUGAACAUGAAUCUGAUAAUUCAAUUGGUAAACCAGUUACCAUGACAGGUAUGUAAUAUUAAGAAUCACUAAUUUUUUUGUUCCUAUAUUUAGUACUAGUUAGCUACACUAUUACUGCUUUGCAGCCGAGUCUGCAACCUUGGAAGUACUCACUUAGCACUGUUGUGAUAGCACAUUUUGUGAAGUUGGCACAACCAAAGGUUGUUUCUAGUUUGUUUGUACCACCUGUAACGUAUAUUUUUAUUCUUCGUUCAUUCUCUUAACAAUUAUUUUGUUUCAUCGAAAUAUUAUUCUUCAUUGCUAGGCAUUUCUCUAUUAGCAUAUUUCGUGUGACGUAGGGCUGCGUAAGCAACUAUUGGUGGGGUUCGCGGUGUAGAUUAGGCUCUGCACUAUAUAAGCGCUGGUGCUUCCUUCCUUUUCCUUUGUCUUCAGCCUUGGUUAGGUUCACGGUGCGAUUUUGUUGGGGUCCUUGGCAUAGCGGAUACGUGUGGUACCGUUGUUGCCGGUGAUACCACGUGACACGAUUUUGUGGGUUGUCUGCUAGGACCCCAACAUCUACGAUAAAGAACUCCUCAACCUCUUCGGAUCAGUAUCGGGAUUCUUUCUUCUGGCCGAGCAAAAUUUUUUUAACCUCAGCUGACCUCGUGAUGGAGAUGGAGUCCUGGAAGUUGGACUACUGAACUCGAGAGACUGGCGGGUGAUCAUCCAGGGAGUUUCUGCCAAGCUAUGAGUCAUGGAGACCGCUAUGAUAAGUGACCACAGUUAACCUCCACCCACGUGUCAGAAAUAAUUCGAACCCACAGUGUAGUUUAAAUGAAUAUAUAGAAUGAAAUUAUGAAUAAAAUCUAGAAUUUAUUGAAGUACGGGGUAAAUUAUUGAAAUGGAUAGAAAGCUUUUUAAGACAAAGAACAUUUCGGGUGAAAAUUGGCAACUCAUUUUCUGAUGAAAAAGAAAUAUUGAGCAGCGUGCCCUAAGGUUCUGUGCUUAGUCCGGUCCUAUUUAUUAUUUAUAAGUUUGACUUUCCUAAGUGUUUGACAUGCAAUGUGAGCAUGAUUUGCUGAGGAUACAAAGAUUUUUGCAAAUCCCCUUAAAGCAUCUGAGCGUCUUCAGUCUCACUUAUCGCAAAUAACAAACUGGUCAAAUGAGUGGCUUCUUAAACUGAAUGUGGACCAGUGUAGUGUAUUACAUAUAGGUACUCGAAAUCCUCACCAGCCUUAUGAAAUAGAAGGAAUACUUUUAAAAAAAGUCAGCAAUCAAGUCGACUUGGGUAUACAUAUCACUGAAAACCUUAAAAGGGAGCACCACAUCGCAGCUAUAACUAAAAAGGCAAAUAGCUUCGUCUACAUCAUAAGGAAAGCUUUUGGACAUCUUACACCAUGCAUAGAUAUUCACUUCCAUCAACCAGCUAGAUUGAGGUUUGAUAUUCAGAAGCUAUAUCAAAACCUCAGAAAAUAGAAGUAUCCUCCAGUAUCGUUUCUGAGAUGAUAAACACGAAGAUUCUGAGACUCGAAUGAGCGCAGAGAUCACAAACAUUUUCAUUGUGACAGUCAUUUUACUGAUGAGGACACAGAGGAGCGGUUAUGAUCUAUGCAACGAAAUGAAAUGGAUCUAAAUUUUACUCAAUGUGCUUUACAACAUGAGAUAGUAAAUUUUUGUUUGUCCUUUCUCCGUUUUAUUUAUCUCUAUGGAAUGCGCGCAUAACACUCUUCAUUUACAAACCCCUGAUACUAGUGUUAUUUUGUGUUAUUGGGAUCACUGCCUCGGCUGCUGCACUCGUACAUCUCACCACGAGCUUUGCUUCUGUUCAGGGAACGUCCGAUAAUAUCCCGUGAAAUCUACGCUCGAAUCCAGGAUUGGUGGCAAUUCUUGUAUUGUUUGUAUAAAAAAUUGCAAAUUUCCAGAAAUAAAAUUGUACAUAUCACUAUCAGUACGACGCUUAUUGUCGAUAAAUGACAUUUUAAGAUCUCGUUGUUCGCGGAAAUCACACCUCCAGCAGAAUUAUGAGUGAUGAACACAUCUUCUUUUUCAACCUUAGAUUGGCACAUUCUCAAAAAAAAAAUGCUGAAAAAAAAUUAACACAAUAACUGCUCACAACUAAAGUCCAAAGUUCAAUAACACAAAGUUUCUUUUUCACACACGCGACACACGGCAUAGACAGGUCCUGGCAGGGUCGCCAUAUAAAGGUUGUAAUGGGAGAUGGAAAUCAAACCAUGUCGAAUGCUCUAGUAAGACUAUUAAUAUGUAACUCACGUAAUUUAUACUUACAUUUAGGAUAUAUGUAUAUACGCUAAUAUAAUAUAAUACGCUACAACAUGCUUAUACACUACAAAAUUAUCAAAUAAUA
rnacentral:misc_RNA from 1 species